rnacentral:tRNA from 1 species
GUCCCGAUAGUAUAAAUAUUACACUGGUCUUGUAAACCAAAAAUGAAAAAAUCUUUUUCUCAGGACA